UACGGGGGGAGCAAGCGUUGUUCGGAUUUACUGGGCGGAAAGGGCGCGUAGGCGGCCAGCGCAAGUCAGUUGUGAAAUCUCCGGGCUUAACUCGGAAAGGUCAACUGAUACUGCGCGGCUAGAGUGCAGAAGGGGCAACUGGAAUUCUCGGUGUAGCGGUGAAAUGCGUAGAUAUCGAGAGGAACACCUGCGGCGAAGGCGGGUUGCUGGGCUGACACUGACGCUGAUGCGCGAAAGCCAGGGGAGCGAACGGG
rnacentral:rRNA from 1 species